rnacentral:rRNA from 1 species
AACGAACGCUGGCGGCAUGCCUAACACAUGCAAGUCGAACGAAGGCUUCGGCCUUAGUGGCGCACGGGUGAGUAACGCGUGGGAAACUGCCUAUUGGUGGGGAAUAACGACGGGAAACUGUCGCUAAUACCGCAUAAGCCCUUCGGGGGAAAGAUUCAUCGCCGAUAGACGUGCCCGCGUCCGAUUAGCUAGUUGGUGAGGUAAUGGCUCACCAAGGCGACGAUCGGUAGCUGGUCUGAGAGGAUGAUCAGCCACACUGGGACCGAGACACGGCCCAGACUCCUACGGGAGGCAGCAGUGGGGAAUAUUGGACAAUGGGCGAAAGCCUGAUCCAGCAAUGCCGCGUGAGUGAUGAAGGCCUUAGGGUUGUAAAGCUCUUUCGGGUGGGACGAUGAUGACGGUACCACCAGAAGAAGCCCCGGCUAACUUCGUGCCAGCCGCCGCUGUAA